rnacentral:lncRNA from 1 species
CAUAUAACCACCAUGCAUAUAUAUGAAUCAAUUUAAUAUUCCUUGUUGAUACUGACCGUCCCUAGAGCAAGUGGCAAAGGGCUUGGUGGUUGGUAUCCGAGACCCAAGUUCGAAUCCUAGUUGAUUCACGUUUCUAGCUAAAUUUAUUUCUAAAUGAAAUAAACGAAGUGGGUAGCGUGCUACCUAUCUCUCAAAAAAAAGGAAAAAAAAAUCCUUGUUGAUGCC